CUUCAACGACCCCAGCCACAAAGGCUCCCGGCCCGCCGGCCGCUUUCCGUACGUGGCCAGCAACGCCUGCGCCUC
rfam:Streptomyces sp. PVA 94-07 chromosome, whole genome shotgun sequence.